AGGGUAAAACCCUCCUUGGGCUGUGAGCUCCCAGCUCUCUCCUCACACAGGGCUGAGGUCUCUGGGGAAGGCAGAGCUGUGGUCUAGAAGAAGAUGGCACUGCUGGGUCUUCUCCUGUGCCUGGUGACAGCCCCCCAAGGUGUCCUGUCCCAGGUGCAGCUGCAGGAGUCGGGCCCAGGACUGGUGAAGCCCUCGCAGACCCUGUCCCUCACCUGCACUGUCUCUGGAUUCUCUUUAACCAGCUAUCAUGUGCACUGGACACGCCAGGCUCCAGGAAAGCGGCUGGAGUGGGUUGGUGCUGUAUGGAGUGGUGGAAGCACAGGCUAUAACCCAACGCUUAAGUCCCGGCUCAUCAUCACCAGGGAAACCUCAAAGAGCCAAGUUUAUUUAACAGUGAAGAGUCUGACAGCCGAGGACACGGCCGUGUAUUACUGUGCGAGGGACACAGUGACAGGAAGUCAGUGUGAGCCCAGGCACAAACGUCCCUGCAGGUGA